CUUGUAGGAUCCUUCCCCCUGCAGGUGGGAGGUGCAAAACCUGUUCCCUGUCAGGCUGGUCUGUCCCUCAAAACAUGGCGCUGCCUACUCUGAGCUCCCAGGCUUUUCCGGCGAGGCUGUUCAGGCGAUGAUCAAUCAAGUACUGGAGAAGCUGGAAGAAAAGCCCAUUUGAGACGCCUAAUUACGCCACCAAAACUUCAGGCGCCACUAUUGUUCGUUCCAAGACUUCUCCCUCCUGGAUUGGAAGUGGGAAGGUCUUCUGGGGGUCGUUGCUGGUGACACCUUAUAUGAGGCCUCCUGAGAUUAUUCUUGAGGUAAGAACGC